UGGAUCGCGUCAGGCGUGGCGGCGGCAGGACCGCGGGCGCAGCUCCCCUCUGCGUGUUGCGCGGCACCCCUCCGGCAGGACUGCCGGCGCAGCUACCUCAGGCAGGGCCGCUGCCGUAUCUCUCCUAUGCGUGCUAUGCGGCUCCCUUCUGGCACGACCGCGGCCCUCUUUCUUCGCCGCGGUGCUCCUCUGGCAACACCGCCGGCACCCUCCCAUCUGCGUGCGCCGCAGCGCCCCUCCAACAGGACGGCUGGCCCUCUGCAUGCGGCACGGCGCCCCUCCAGCAGGAGGGCAGGCCCAGCCCCCCUCUGCGUGCGGCGUCGCGCCUCUCUGGCCGCGUUUCUCCUCGGUUUGUUACCUGCCUCAGUUUCUCCCAAGAUGCAUCCGGUGUCGAUGGGGACGUCCAGAGCUGGUACAGGGCUAGCUUCUCUCCCGUGCUCAUUAUGUUCUCAGCAAUGGGCUCCACGCGACUGCUGCCCAUCUCGACGCCGUCUGUGGACUUGAAGGUCCCUAAUUGAUGUUUGGCGUUCCCUCUCCUACUAAUGUUGGUGCCGGUGCUCCACUUCCUCUCCCCACCAUCUCCACAAGAAACUGAUGGAUUUUUACCCUUUAAAUUCUGCUCCGCCUCACCUCAUUUUUGUACCCAUCGACCUCCAGUACUGGAGGGUCCCUCUGCCAGAACACUCAUACUGCUCCCGGCUGUACUUGCUCGAUUACACCCAAGUACUGUUCAUUCGUCUUCCCUCUAUGCCUACACAAACACAUUCGAUUUCUGCCUCCUACUGGUACAUAAUCUCCACCCCGGUUGCUUUGCUAAUUCUGGAUUUUGUUUGAUCAAUAUCAAUCUGAUUUUAAUUUUGCUUCAUUGAUGUAAUUCUUUGAAUGAGACGAUUAAACACAAACGCCUUGCAUUUCCCCCCUGUGUUAGAUAGGUGUCUAUAUAUAUAUGUCUUAUCCUGAUUGUACGUUUUAUCUGUUCUAAAGAGAAGUUUCUCUAUCGACAAUACUAAUUCAGUGCCUCUGUUUCCUUCAACAAAGGUUAGCAACUUUUAAAUAUUAAUCCCUUAGUAUAUCGGACUAUUAACUUGACAUGUCAAGCUUUUUUAGACAGCUCAAGAUCAAGCCUACUGCCCUCUUCAACUUCAUCCAAAAUAAGUGCUCAGAGAUCUGGAGCAAAAAGAAGAAUAGAUUUCACCAACGAUGAUGGCAAUAAAUCAUUCAGCUCAAAGGAACAUGACCAUAAUCCUUCCAAAUAUGCAACUCAAAGGAGCCGGAAGCAAGUACUACGAAAAAGCACAAGCAAGAGACAACUUGCACUCUGCUACAAAUGAGGAAUAACGUACAUCACCUACAACCAGAAAUAACAUAGUGCUUAUGUACAUACCACUUUGCUCAGCUUCUAUUGUAAUCAAGAAACAUUACAAAUUUUGU